rnacentral:lncRNA from 1 species
GUUUGGUGGUCAGCUGGAAUGGGAAUCCAAAUAAGCUGGCCUCAUUGUAGAGACUGUUCUUUGCUUGAAAGGCAAAAAGAACAUUGGCCAAAGAACACAUUUGUAAACCAAAUGUGUCAUAAGAUGAGUAUGGGGAGCCAUUGCACACUCUGGCAGGAAUGGUGAAACUGGCCACGACAAACGCUAAUCCAAAGAAGAGAGAUUGUUCUAGAAAGAAGACUGCAGAUAGGUCAGGUAGCCAUUAUGGUCCUGAAAAGAAGAGGUUUCAAGUAUCGAUCAAUCGGGACAGAAGGUGUUCAUGAGCUCGCAGGAGCACUGUGUCACGCAAGAAGAACUCCAACCAUCUCAUUUUUCAAAAAUGAUAUUGUUAUCCUUUCAUCUCAUGUGCUCAUGCCUCAGAAUGUGCCAAGGUAAUUUCUUACCAGACAGAUGCCAACAGUAACUAGGCAACUGGUAUAAAUAGAUGCAUAGUAAGAA